ACUACAUUUUGUUAUAGAAGGAUCAAGAAUUUGUGAGGUUUAGUUCUAGCUCUGUUAACAAUUUAUAUGAAUUUGGACAAGCUACUUAGGUUCUUCUUCUUAAGUAAAGGGAGGAAUGAAUUAAAUCUGACUUCAGUUUUUCUUAUAUCCCAUCUCUCAUGUGUGUUGUAGGUUUUAAAAAGAAAAAAAAAAGUGAACCAACCACCUUUAUGCUCUCUCCUAUUUAGUGACAUUUUAAUUAUAAGCUGGUUUUUGAGAUCUUCUAAUAUAAUGUUGCCAUACUUUUAUAUACUAGUUUAAUAGAAAAAAAUACAGGGAUGUAAGGACCCAAGCACAAUUAGGACGGUUCCUAAGGAAGGUACCUGCUGGGUAUAACACUGGAAGUUCAAGUUGUUCUUGGCAUUGAAUUUCAGGUUAUCCUCUAAAGUUUUGCUUGGUAAGCAUUAUAUUCUCUUGCCCUAAUGAACUUGUGGCCAUUUCAACGCAUGGCCUUAUACUGGAAAUGGGGGAGGAACAAAGAGGAAAAGACCCAUCAGCAAUUGCAAUUGGUAGGAUUGGCAAGAUAGUUUUGUCACACAUGUAGGUGGAAGGCUUUUUGAGGGGUGGGGAGACACAUAGACAGCAUCUGGUUGUGGAGGAAAAGUGCAGAAAAGGGAAAAGAUUUGGAGUCAAAUUCUGGUCUGCCACAUACUUACCCAAAUCCUGUGUUAUUUAUUUAACCUCUGAGAGUCUGGGUUUUUUUUUUUAUCUCUAAAAUGAAGAUGAUAGUAGUACUUAUCUUUUUUAAAUGGCUGUGGGAAUU